AUUGAACGCUGGCGGCGUGCCUAACACAUGCAAGUCGAGCGGUAACAGGCGUAGCAAUACGUGCUGACGAGCGGCGAACGGGUGAGCAAUGCUUCGGAAUCUGCCCAAUGAUGGGGAAUAACCAGUCGAAAGAUUGGCUAAUACCGCAUACGUCCUACGGGAGAAAGCAGGGGAUCUUCGGACCUUGCGCUAAUAGAUGAGCCUAAGUCGGAUUAGCUAGUGGGUGGGGUAAAGGCGUACCAAGCCGACGAUCUGUAGCGGGUCUGAGAGGAUGAUCCGCCACACUGGGACGGAGACACGGCCCAGACUCCUACGGUAGGCAGCAGUUGGGAAUAUUGGACAAUGGGCGGAAGCCUGAUCCAGCCAUGCCGCGUGUGUGAAGAAGGCCUUAUGGUUGUAAAGCACUUUAAGCGAGGAGGAGGCUACUUUAGUUAAUACCUAGAGAUAGUGGACGUUACUCGCAGAAUAAGCACCGGCUAACUCUGUGCCAGCCGCCGCCGUAA
rnacentral:rRNA from 1 species